rnacentral:lncRNA from 1 species
AUUUAGGAAAAUAAAUUGCGUAUUGAGUGGGUUGAAGGAGAUGGACUGGCUUUUCCAGGGCAAGUGUUGACUCUUUGUGUUUUCUCUAGGGGGAAACUCGGCCGAUAUCCUCCUUGGCCAGGAAAGAUUGUUAAUCCACCAAAGGACUUGAAGAAACCUCGCGGAAAGAAAUGCUUCUUUGUGAAAUUUUUUGGAACAGAAGAUCAUGCCUGGAUCAAAGUGGAACAGCUGAAGCCAUAUCAUGCUCAUAAAGAGGAAAUGAUAAAAAUUAACAAGGGUAAACGAUUCCAGCAAGCGGUAGAUGCUGUCGAAGAGUUCCUCAGGA